UGCCCAGUGUCAGUAGAUAAAUGGCCGCAGUACCUUGACUGUGCUAAGGUAGCAUAAUCAAUUGGCUUUUAAUUGAAGUCUAGAAUGAAUGGGAUAAUGGAAUUUAGCUGUCUUGAUUUUUUUAAUAAAAAUUUAUUUAUAAGGUGAAAAUACCUUAAAUUAUAAUAAAGACGAGAAGACCCUAUGAAUUUUUAAAUUUUUUUUGUUGGGGCGACAGUUUAAAAAUAAAUCUUAAAUUUAAAAUAUAUAACGAUUUUUUUAAUAAAAAUUAAAUUACCUUAGGGAUAACAGCAUUAUUAUUCAAAUAGUUUGUGACCUCGAUGUUGGACUAGGAACUAAAAGGCUAACCGUC
rnacentral:rRNA from 1 species